CCCUUAGAUGUCCUGGGCCGCACGCGCGCUACACUGAGUGUCUGAGAUACGAGUCUGCCUGGUCCGGCAAGGUCUAGGUAAUCGCUAAAAGACACAUCAUGCUUGGGAUAGAUUUUUGCAAAUAUUAAUCUUGAACGAGGAAUUCCUAGUAAGCGCAAGUCAACAGCUUGCGUUGAUUACGUCCCUGCCCUUUGUACACACCGCCCGUCGCUCCUACCGAUUGAGUGGUCCGGUGAGGCUUUGGGAUCUGAGCGGAAAGAGCGUUUCGCUGUUUCUGCUCGGAAAACUCAGUCGAACCUUAUCAUUUAGAGGAAGGAGAAGUCGUAACA
rnacentral:rRNA from 1 species